UACGGAGGGGGCUAGCGUUGUUCGGAAUUACUGGGCGUAAAGCGCACGUAGGCGGCGAUUUAAGUCAGAGGUGAAAGCCCGGGGCUCAACCCCGGAACUGCCUUUGAGACUGGAUUGCUUGAACAUCGGAGAGGUGAGUGGAAUUCCGAGUGUAGAGGUGAAAUUCGUAGAUAUUCGGAAGAACACCAGUGGCGAAGGCGGGUCACUGGACGAUGGUUGGCGCUGAGGUGCGAAAGCGUGGGGAGCAAACAGG
rnacentral:rRNA from 1 species